UUGAGGAUUCUUCGCCGACCUUAGACAGCCCUCAAGCUUUAUGCUAUGUCACACACACACCAAACAUCAUAACAGACCAAGCAAUAUAGAGAGAAAGAAGAAGAUAAAACAGAGCAGAGAAGAGGGAAGAAGAGAAGCACACAAACGAUUGUUCACCCUGAGUUCACCAAGUUGGCUACAUCUCAGGGGAGGGAGACUGUCCCCCAACUGCAUCCACUAAUAGAAGAAGAUAACAGAGAUUACAAGUGAUUCACUCUCAAGACUCACUCGUCGGCCACUCUCUGUUCUACUUGAGAAAAUCCCACCCAAAGCUUAAGCCUUUACAUGUUUUCUCUCACCCUUCUAUCUCCUAGAGCUACAUUGUGUCUAUCUUCUUGUGGCUUCCUAUCUCUCAUGUCUUCAUAUCACUUUAUAUAUGGGAGACAACCUCAAACCCUAGUGCAGCUAGCAAACGAGUCCUCAUCUUAUUCACAAGAGGACAAAGUAUCCUUCUUGACCAUGAAUUCAAAUGAUCCUCCUUGUGGUCCCAAAAGCUCUUCUAACUUUAGUUAAUAUAAUCAACCUUGGUUAGGACUUGAGUUUACCUUUGGUUUGCACAUGAUCCUUGUUUGGUUGCUCAUCAAGUUCUCAUAUCUUCACAAAUCUCCACCUGAGAACAUGAUGAUCAAAACCAAGCAACCUGCACAAACUUGAGAGAGUACCUUCUUCUACUUUCUUGGAUCCCAAUCUCGGCUCUUGAGUAUCAUUACUCUGCCUUGAUACUUAGCAGUUUAAAAUGCCAUAAACUUGCUUGAUCCUCGCUGCAUUUAGCUUACGUUCAAUGCACUUCAGCUGUGACUACUCACAUUGCUGAACCUGAGCCAUCAACACAUCCUUAGAUCACCAGAGUUGUGAAAACCAGCUUCAUACAAACUUGUAUUAAGCUCAACUCUUCAGUGAUCACUUCAUGAUACAUUCAACACUUGAAUUAUGAUGUUACCACUCAGCAAAAAUUUAUUAACAAGUCAAGAAAACACCUCCAGCUUGUCAAUCUCAACAGAAAACUCCAUAAGCUCCACCACCUAUGAGCUGUUCAAUCACACAUUCUCCACCACGGCUUCUGUUAAUGCCAUAAGCAUGUUACAGUGAUUGAAGUACCACUUAUCCCUCUGCAAAACCUGAUUCCCUUGCUAAAGCUUCUAGGAUUUACUCAUGCGCAUUGAGAUCAAAAUCCUUUGAAUUCACUUGAAUCAAUUGCAGAAAACUGAAUCAACUUAGCCUCAGACUUGAAGCUCUUGAUUCACCAGGUGAACAGCCUCACCAACCAGCUAAAUAUACACUAUAUAGCUAUAGACUGAACCUUUCACCUCCUGUUUAAACAACCCAGUCUUGAACAUAAACCUUGAUCAAACUCUCUGUUAAAACAGAACCACCACCAGCAGAUUUUAACCACUACUAGUUAUCUUUACACCUGUCUCAUAUCAGCAAAACCUUGUGAUAUCCCUGAGACAAACAUGUACAGCUACUUCUGCACCAAAUCUAGAACCCUUGGUGCCCUUCCAGUUGUAACCACAGACCUGCAAAACCUGCAGAACUCCACCAAACGACUUGAACCUUACCUCAUUCAAUUUCAAGACUUAAGCCAAAGCCUUUCCCUUCUUUAUCAUCAAUACUUGAAGAUACUUUACUUGAAUGACCUGCAAGCGUCUGGUCAAAUGCAAUUUGAAUUUCCUGCAUUUGCGUCUCUUCUAAGACUCCAUUUCAGUUGCUAACACCAGCCUUGAGAUGAGUUGUUUAUCAAGCUUGAUACACAACACUUUCACAGUCUUGAAGUGAAUAGCCUUGAGACAGCUCCUGCAACACUUGCAAUUGUCUCUUUCAGUUUCCUCCUUAGAGAAUUCCCCUGAACCACUUCAUUUUCUUCAUCUCACACCUUAGUGUCUUCUCUGAAAUUUUCAGAAAAAAACCUGCAACUCACUUUCAGAAAAUCCACAGUUCACAACUUGAAACCUGCAACUUGUUUCUGAAAUCCUUACCAAUCAGCCAGCUUCAAACCAAAUAUGUAAGACCCUUUUUUUACCUUCAGAUUAUAACCCAAUCUGAGCUGAACACCUGUUGAUAACCACCUGUUCUUGGCUUUCCCUUCUUCUUGAUACAAUGAACUUCCAUGAACCUUAAACAACAGUGAUAUCCAGCCUUUUAACUCCAUGCUACUGAGCUAAACACCCAGACAACCUCCACAAAUAGCUCCACCAGGAACCAUAACCAUUUGAGUUACAAUGUCUAUGUAAGCUCAGCCUCACUUCUCUGAGUUAAACUGUUCUUCUGUUCACUCACACUUUCUUAUGUAUUAGAGUGAGUUCCCAUGGCCUCUUUCUUGAGAAAACCGUACUAUAACUUGUAGCACAUCUUCUUCUUCAUGUAACCACUCCAUCUUAUUCAUAUGUACCCAAAGAACCACCAAGAACCUUCUUUUAUUUCCAGCAGCCUUGUCAUCUCUACUUGGAGCAUUCUUCAUAAUCUAAUAGUGCAACAACUUAAGCUGAUACGCCAUCAAAUCAUACCUCCAUCCUAGAAAACCAAAUCUUGUACUCUUCUUUAGCAAAAUCAACAUAUACAUAUCUUGCAUCGCUGUUCAAAUGAAUAGAACACGCCGCCUAACUCUCCUAGCUAGGAAGAAUUUCGACACGAGAAAAUAAUACGGUCAAUUGCGUACCAUCAUAUACUUCUUUUGUCGCUUGAAGAUCUGAUUCAAAACACAAGAUAACCACUGAGAAUUAAAUGCUCCACCCGAGAUAAGAACUCCUUGUUCUCUUACAUUCAUUCCAACAGAAUCAUCAUGUGUUAUACCAAACACAAAUCUGUAGAAUUUAUGAAUCUUUGCUACUGCCAUCUUGUCUCGAAAACAAGAACUCUUACGCUAUCCAGCUUACACCAAACAGUAGAUUUCCGGAGCCACACUGCAUUCCCUCUGAAAAUAGCAGCCUUGUAGCUUCACGAUCUCUAAAGAUCCACCAACUGAAGACUUUUAGAUUCACAAGAAUCUAACCAUUACCACUGAGACAGAACUCUGCAACAAAUCAUCACCCAAACUCAACCAACCACUGAAGUCUUGUCUUUAGAACUGAAUCCAGAAAACCCUUUUACAAAUACCCCACAGCCUAAUACUCAUAAAAAUUUCCAAGCUUCUAAGGCGUCCCUCAGUCCCAUGGAAUUCUAUGAGUUUCCGAGGCUGUGGUAACACUAGUAUUCGAAUACCAACUGUAAAAGACUGUACCAACCAGAUUCAAAACUCCAUGAAAAAACCAGCAUGAAACCCAAUACUGAAUCUUUUCAAUCUCUUGCGAUAACAGUGGAACGAGACUUGAAGCCUCCAAAUUUUGAGUCUUGAGAAAUAAGAAUGAUUCUGAUCCAAAGAUUGUAGUCAAAGAAAUCCGACUUACACGUUUCAAGGAUCUUAAUCAAACUUCAGCCGAUGAUGUUACUGUCUCUCUUCCUUUCCAAACAAGAGUAAACGAAGACACAAACUUGUGGCAUCGUCUUUCUUACUCACUGUAACCUCCAAUUUCUUUACAGAAAAUCAGAAUUUCUGGAUUUACCGGAAGAUAUCCGAGCCUUGCAAGCUCCAGUCUUCAAAUUUCUUUAGCUAAUUUGAGCUCCUUUCUUCUCGAGAACACUUUCUUCUUCAAUCGUCACUUCCUCCUCCGACGAGAAUCUCGAUAUGGUUUACCGAUCCAUCUUCGACUUCAUCGCCGAACCUAAUCGCUCCCAGUCAUAAAACCUCAACUUACGAUUUGACGAUUGCUUAUGUCGUGACUGUCUCUUAGCUUCAGCUUCAACACUUCCGAGAAAGAAGCAUCAAGAGAAACGUACCAUUGUUUCUCUUUCUGACUUUUGGGCAUUUAUGAACUUAGCCCAAAAAACAAAAUAUUCAUUAAUGGGAGGACAGGCCCAUCUUGGCCCAACUGAAGAAAGAAAAAAGAAUUUGUCGUGACCCAUCUUUUCUCUUCUUCUCACCGUCGCUCACCAUCAAACUUUCUCCGGUGAGAAUCUCGGUGCUCUCCGGUGACGCCUUGGUCACCACACCUCCGCGACUCUCUCUCACCGCGUGUCUCUUCCUCGACAGCGAAACCCGAAGCUUCUUCUCCGACUCGUUCUGCUUAUGACAGUGCCGUCUGCUCUUUCACGACGUCAUCGGAAGCUCGAGCCACUCCACCGUAAUCUCAGCCUUCUCCGGUAAGAAUCUCCACACUGUCUCUGUCAUCGAACUCUCUGAGAAUCACCUGAGCUCGUGACAAACAUCCUCUGUUAGCAUCCGAGAUUUCAACAGAAAUCUCUAUCUUCCUCCAUCUUCUCUCUCAAUGCUUCAGCAGAUCUAGUUCUUCUUAGAUGGACAAGACACGCCGUCUUCUUAUGAGAUAUAAUCUCUAAAUCCAUCGUUCUUCUCUAGAGCUGCACUUCCCGAAGCCAUUGCUUAUAAAGGUGUGAUCUUUCUUGACAAAGCUUACAUUUUCCUUGUAAAGCUUGAAUCUUUCUCACCGAAACUUGAAGAUUCUGGAUAAAGCUUGAGUCUUUCAGCACUAACCUGUGCUCUGAUACCAUUUGUUAAGGAUUCUUCGCCGACCUUAGACAGCCCUCAAGCUUUAUGCUAUGUCACACACACACCAAACAUCAUAACAGACCAAGCAAUAUAGAGAGAAAGAAGAAGAUAAAACAGAGCAGAGAAGAGGGAAGAAGAGAAGCACACAAACGAUUGUUCACCCUGAGUUCACCAAGUUGGCUACAUCUCAGGGGAGGGAGACUGUCCCCCAACUGCAUCCACUAAUAGAAGAAGAUAACAGAGAUUACAAGUGAUUCACUCUCAAGACUCACUCGUCGGCCACUCUCUGUUCUACUUGAGAAAAUCCCACCCAAAGCUUAAGCCUUUACAUGUUUUCUCUCACCCUUCUAUCUCCUAGAGCUACAUUGUGUCUAUCUUCUUGUGGCUUCCUAUCUCUCAUGUCUUCAUAUCACUUUAUAUAUGGGAGACAACCUCAAACCCUAGUGCAGCUAGCAAACGAGUCCUCAUCUUAUUCACAAGAGGACAAAGUAUCCUUCUUGACCAUGAAUUCAAAUGAUCCUCCUUGUGGUCCCAAAAGCUCUUCUAACUUUAGUUAAUAUAAUCAACCUUGGUUAGGACUUGAGUUUACCUUUGGUUUGCACAUGAUCCUUGUUUGGUUGCUCAUCAAGUUCUCAUAUCUUCACAGUUUCAAUUAUGUUCGAUUAGGUAGAGACUUUGCCAUAAACAGUUGAUCCAAAACCUUGAACAUACCUAAGGUUGGCUUAUCCUUUAUGAUUUUUUUUAUGAAGUUGCACUCCAAAACUUAAUAUGAUGGUAACUCUAGACUUUCAUUGCUUCUUCUUUAGAGCUUAAUUUGUCUUCUUUUUUUACUUGAUGUGUCCCUUGUCAUGUCUUAGCCAUCUAGAGUCUUCUGAGUUAACUCUUUGCUUUGUCUUGCGUUUAAUUUUUUUUUCUCUUUUCUUGUAC
rnacentral:lncRNA from 1 species